GUGCUCGCUUUGGCAGCACAUAUAUUAAAGUUGGAAUGAUACAGGAAAAUUGGCAUGGCGCAAGGAUAACAGGCAAAUUCAUGAAGCAUUCCAUAUUUUA
rnacentral:snRNA from 1 species